AGAGUUUGAUCCUGGCUCAGGAUGAACGCUAGCGGGAGGCCUAACACAUGCAAGCCGAGCGGUAUAGUUUCUUCGGAAACUAGAGAGCGGCGUACGGGUGCGUAACACGUGUGCAACCUACCUUUAUCAGGGGAAUAGCCUUUCGAAAGGAAGAUUAAUACUCCAUAAUAUAUUAGAUGGCAUCAUUUAGUAUUGAAAACUCCGGUGGAUAGAGAUGGGCACGCGCAAGAUUAGAUAGUUGGUGAGGUAACGGCCUACCAAGUCAAUGAUCUUUAGGGGGCCUGAGAGGGUGAUCCCCCACACUGGUACUGAGACACGGACCAGACUCCUACGGGAGGCAGCAGUGAGGAAUAUUGGACAAUGGGUGAGAGCCUGAUCCAGCCAUCCCGCGUGAAGGACGACGGUCCUAUGGAUUGUAAACUUCUUUUUAUAGGGAUAAACCUACUCUCGUGAGAGUAGCUGAAGGUACUAUACGAAUAAGCACCGGCUAACUCCGUGCCAGCAGCCGCGGUAAU
rnacentral:rRNA from 1 species